GAGGCUGGGUGUUCGCGAACGCCCGCCCGAGCCGCUCCGCUAGGUGUUUGGGGCUUUGAUUCGUGCGCUUUAACUUGCUAUGCACCUUAAGGGUGGCAACCAGGCAGCUGACACACUGGAAAAGCCCUGGAAGGUGGAUCUCAGAUGGGAGACAGAGUUUCAGCAUAUAGCCAAGGUUCCUGCCUCAGUCUCCCAAAUGCUGAGGUCACAGGACAGGGUCUCAAGCAGUUGAACAGGGCCUUGAACAGACAAUCCUUCCACCUCCACCUCUCAAAUGCUCGACUGUAACCAUACCCAUCGCCACCGUCAAUCUUAGCACAGAG